UUUCCAUGGGAGCGUGCCGCCUCUCCUCCGGAGGGCUGUGCCGCCACAGCUGCGCAGGCGACGCCCUUCCAGCGUAGACAAGGCCCAGGGGAACUUAGAAAGGUUUUAAGCGCGGUUUGUAAAAGGUUCAAACUAAGUGUCAUCGCAGAGAGCUGCAUUUCACUGUUCUCAGGCCCAGGAAGAAACCACCACGGGAAAAUGAGUAUGCAGCUUCAGCCCGCCCGCACAGCUGCCCUGGGAGGACUGCUUUAGGAGGGGAAGGACUGCCUGGGACAAGCGCUGCACCAACACACCGGAGAUCUAGAUUAAAUUUCUUGCCGUUAGAGAAA